rnacentral:SRP_RNA from 1 species
GGGCAGGCUCGGCGCGGCGGAAGACUCCCAACCCCGCCAGGUCCGAAAGGAAGCAACGGUACGGAACUCUCUCUGGGUGCCGCCGAUUUCCUGCUCAGG